AACGAACGCUGGCGGCAUGCCUAACACAUGCAAGUCGAACGAGACCUUCGGGUCUAGUGGCGCACGGGUGCGUAACGCGUGGGAAUCUGCCCUUGGGUUCGGAAUAACAGUUAGAAAUGACUGCUAAUACCGGAUAAUGUCUUCGGACCAAAGAUUUAUCGCCCAGGGAUGAGCCCGCGUAGGAUUAGCUAGUUGGUGAGGUAAAGGCUCACCAAGGCGACGAUCCUUAGCUGGUCUGAGAGGAUGAUCAGCCACACUGGGACUGAGACACGGCCCAGACUCCUACGGGAGGCAGCAGUGGGGAAUAUUGGACAAUGGGCGAAAGCCUGAUCCAGCAAUGCCGCGUGAGUGAUGAAGGCCUUAGGGUGUAAAGCUCUUUACCCGGGAUGAUAAUGACAGUACCGGGAGAAU
rnacentral:rRNA from 1 species